rnacentral:rRNA from 1 species
UACGGAGGAUCCAAGCGUUGUCCGGAUUUAUUGGGUUUAAAGGGUGCGUAGGUGGGUCUGUAAGUCAGUGGUGAAAUCUCCGGGCUUAACCCGGAAACUGCCAUUGAUACUAUAGAUCUUGAAUAUCCUGGAGGUGAGCGGAAUAUGUCAUGUAGCGGUGAAAUGCUUAGAUAUGACAUAGAACACCAAUUGCGAAGGCAGCUCACUACGGGAUCAUUGACACUGAGGCACGAAAGCGUGGGGAUCAAACAGG